UUAAUUUUCGACUAUAGCAAUUUUACCAAAUUUAAUCAUCGACUAUACUGAAUUUUCUCAAUUUAGUCAUUGAUUCUAACAAUCGAGAAUUCAAUUAGGUAAAACCUUCAAAGUUAAGGACAUAAUUAAGCACAAAAAAUCUUUUGAAAUUAAAUUAUGAAAAAUCACUAUAAUCGAUGACUAAAUUGAGUAUUAACUUAAAAACUUUCCUUGAGUCAUUAGAAGAAAAAAACACGAGGGACUUUGGGAUGGGGCAUCAAAGGGAAUACGAAUAAGUUGAAGGAGUUGUCCAAAACUUUGUGGUCAAGCGGCAUAGCUGUGACCCUCCCAAGUAAGAGGUCACAAGUUCGACCCCCAGUGGAGGCGUUUUCUUCAGUAAAUUGAGAAAGUAGUAGGGAACAAAAGCUUAGCAGCGUUGCUUCUCAUCCUCUUCUCGGCUAGUCGCCUACCGGUACCGCCAAGCCCCGUUUGGGGAGACACGAGGAGAAUUCUCAUGGCGGCAACUCUGCUCUCCAAGCCUACGCUUUCCUCUAUUUUCCUCGGCCAGCAAUUAUGCAAUAGAGGAAAUUCGAAGAGUUCUCCACAGUGUGGGUGGAUUCUCUCGAAGAGGUCUCAGUCGCGUGGGUUGAGCCUCAUGGUCCCCAGGUGUGCGGUGGAUACAGCGUCGU